rnacentral:rRNA from 1 species
GAUGAACGCUAGCUACAGGCUUAACACAUGCAAGUCGAGGGACCGGCGCACGGGUGAGUAACACGUAUCCAACCUGCCCUUUACUCGGGGAUAGCCUUUCGAAAGAAAGAUUAAUACCCGAUAUAAAGGAUGGGGAUGCGUUCCAUUAGGGUGUGGGUGCGGUAACGGCCCACCAAGCCUUCGAUGGAUAGGGGUUCGGAGAGGAAGGUCCACCGCAUGGGAACUGCGACACGGUCUAAACUCGUACGGGAGGGAGCAGGGAGGAAUACUGGUCAAUGGGCGUUAGCCUGAACCAGCCAAGUAGCGGGAAGGAUGAAGGCGUAUGGGUCGUAUAUUUCUUUUAUAUAAGAAUAUGUAUUAUAUGAAUAAGGACCGGCUAACUCCGUGCCAGCAGCCGCGGUAAUUC